ensembl:lncRNA
UGGUAGGUGUCGUAGAAGGUAGUAGAGUUGUCAGAAGGUAGUAGAGGUGUCAAAGGUAGUAGAGGUGUCGUAGAAGGUGGUAAAGGUGUCGUAGAAGGUGGUAGAGGUGUCGUAGAAGGUGGUAGAGGUGUCGUAGAAGGUUGUAGAGGUGUCGUAGAAGGUGGUAGAGGUGUCGUAGAAGGUGUCAUAGAGGUGUCAGAAGGUGGUAGGUGUCGUAGAAGGUAGUAGAGUUGUCAGAAGGUUGUAGAGGUGUCAAAGGUUGUAGAGGUG